rnacentral:rRNA from 1 species
GACGAACGCUGGCGGCGUGCUUAACACAUGCAAGUCGAACGGAAGGGCCCUGCUUUUGUGGGGUGCUCGAGUGGCGCACGGGUGAGUAACACGUGAGUAACCUGCCCUUGACUUUGGGAUAACUUCAGGAAACUGGGGCUAAUACCGGAUAGGAUCUCCUGCUGCAUGGUGUGGGUUGGAAAGUUUCGGCGGUUGGGGAUGGACUCGCGGCUUAUCCGCUUGUUGGUGGGGUAGUGGCUUACCAAGGCUUUGACGGGUAGCCGGCCUGAGAGGGUGACCGGCCACAUUGGGACUGAGAUACGGCCCAGACUCCUACGGGAGGCAGCAGGGGGGAAUAUUGCACAAUGGGCGGAAGCCUGAUGCAGCAACGCCGCGUGCGGGAUGACGGCCUUCGGGUGGUAAACCGCUUUCGCCUGUGACGAAGCGUGAGUGACGGUAAUGGGUAAAGAAGCACCGGCUAACUACGUG